rnacentral:rRNA from 1 species
CAAUAGCGUAUAUUAAAGUUGUUGCAGUUAAAAAGCUCGUAGUUGAACUUCAGACCUGGCCGGGCGGUCUGCCUAACGGUAUGUACUGUCUGGCUGGGUCUUACCUCUUGGUGAGCCGGCAUGCCCUUCACUGGGUGUGUCGGGGAACCAGGACUUUUACCUUGAGAAAAUUAGAGUGUUCAAAGCAGGCCUAUGCCUGAAUACAUUAGCAUGGAAUAAUAAAAUAGGACGUGCGGUUCUAUUUUGUUGGUUUCUAGAGUCGCCGUAAUGAUUAAUAGGGAUAGUUGGGGGCAUUAGUAUUCAGUUGCUAGAGGUGAAAUUCUUGGAUUUACUGAAGACUAACUACUGCGAAAGCAUUUGCCAAGGAUGUUUUCAUUGA